AACGAACGCUGGCGGCAGGCCUAACACAUGCAAGUCGAACGCUCCGCAAGGGGAGUGGCAGACGGGUGAGUAACACGUGGGAAUCUUACUAGUGGUACGGAAUAGCUCAGGGAAACUUGGGGUAAUACCGUAUAAGACCGUGAGGGGAAAGAUUUAUCGCCGAUAGAUGAGCCCGCGUCUGAUUAGCUAGUUGGUGAGGUAACGGCUCACCAAGGCGACGAUCAGUAGCUGGUCUGAGAGGAUGGCCAGCCACACUGGGACUGAGACACGGCCCAGACUCCUACGGGAGGCAGCAGUGGGGAAUAUUGGACAAUGGGCGCAAGCCUGAUCCAGCCAUGCCGCGUGAGUGACGAAGAUCUUCGGAUUGUAAAGCUCUUUUGCCAGGGACGAUAAUGACGGUACCUGGAGAAUAAGCCCCGGCUAACUUCGUGCCAGCCGCCGCAGUAAUAC
rnacentral:rRNA from 1 species